CCUACGGGCGGCAGCAGUGAGGAAUAUUGGUCAAUGGCCGGGAGUCUGAACCAGCCAAGUCGCGUGAGGGAAGACGGCCCUACGGGUUGUAAACCUCUUUUGUCAGGGAGCAAGGUGCAGGUCGGGACCUGCUUUGAGAGUACCUGAAGAAAAAGCAUCGGCUAACUCCGGGCCAGCAGACGCGGUAAUACGGAGGAUGCGAGCGUUAUCCGGAGUUAUUGGGUUUAAAGGGUGCGCAGGCGGAGGCACAAGUCAGCGGUAAAAUCGCGGGGCUCAACCCCGCUCCGCCGUUGAAACUGUGUCCCUUGAGUGCGCGAAGGGUAGGCGGAAUGCGUGGUGUAGCGGUGAAAUGCAUAGAUAUCACGCAGAACUCCGAUCGCGAAGGCAGCCUACCGGCGCGCAACUGACGCUCAUGCACGAAAGCGUGGGUAUCGAACAGGAUUAGAUACCCGUGUAGUC
rnacentral:rRNA from 1 species